rnacentral:lncRNA from 1 species
UUCUCCUUUUUUUUUUUUCCAAUGGACAAUUAGCCCAUUUUCCCCCCGCACUUUAUUUUUCCCUCCCCUUAAAAGGUUUGCUCUCUAACAGCAGUGCAUGUGGCUCCUGCAGCCUGUGCAACAACCAGAGGAAAAGUUAGAACCACGGAAAUAUUUUUAGUUCCCUAACUAUGAGCUUAUAACAGAAAUAAAUAUCAUAUAGAAAGAUAAUCUUCAGGUGUACAGUUUUUCUGCUUACUUACAAUUUACAGCAUUUUUUCCGUCUGUCUUCAUUCUGUUUGUCUGCAUGCUUGUUAAUAAUAAAGUUGGUUUGUACCACUUGGCUUCAGCAGUCCUUGAAACUCGCCAGAGUUGUAAAGCUUUAAACAGUUACACAGGUCUUUAAUUGUAAAUUAGUUUUGACAGGACUGCUAAGACAAAGGCCUGGUCCAUCCCGUCCUGAUGCUAGCUGACAACCCCUUACUGCUCCUGGAGCAAGGAAACAUGUGGAAGGAAUUGUUCUUUUACAUUUCACAGCUUGUCAUUUCCUCUGCAGGGCAACCUCUGACCUCCCCGAAAGAUCCUGACACCCAUAAGGGAAGUAUUCCCACUGUUGUAAAGGAAGUGGAAAAACAGUUUAAUGCAGCAAAAGGAGGAGAAGUGUGUGUGUCAGAAGAAGCUGGGAGGAAAAGAGAAGAGCUAAAAAUGCUUCCAGCAGAGGAUUACCAAGAUUACCAUGGCAGUGCAGAUGAGCACUGUGACUUGUUUUGGCCAAAGGAAGUCCAAGGAGGACAUCACAAGAUCAACUGGAAUAACCCACCUGACCAACAUCAUGAAGAAAGAUCAGAUCCUGAGAACAAUGGAAACCAAGAAGAAGAGAAAACAUCUGUAGAGAGCAAUUUUUACUUGGAAGAGUUAGAGAAGUAUACUUUUUCUGUGUGCCGCCAUUCUGCUGCUGAAGUGAAACUGUACCGGCAGGUUGUGGAGCAUUUCCAUUUUGUGGCAUACACAGUCUUUUCAGAGCUGGGAGCCACACACUGGCGCUCCAGGGACUUCUGGCUGCUCGCA